rnacentral:rRNA from 1 species
GUAGGUGGCAAGCGUUGUCCGGAAUUAUUGGGCGUAAAGCGCGCGCAGGCGGGUUCUUUAAGUCUGAUGUGAAAGCCCACGGGCUCAACCGUGGAGGGUCAUUGGAAACUGGAGAACUUGAGUACAGAAGAGGAAAGCGGAAUUCCACGUGUAGCGGUGAAAUGCGUAGAGAUGUGGAGGAACACCAGUGGCGAAGGCGGCUUUCUGGUCUGUAACUGACGCUGAGGCGCGAAAGCGUGGGGAGCAAACAGGAUUAGAUACCCUGGUAGUCCACGCCGUAAACGAUGAGUGCUAAGUGUUAGGGGGGUUUCCGCCCCUUAGUGCUGCAGCUAACGCAUUAAGCACUCCGCCUGGGGAGUACGGCCGCAAGGCUG